AGAGUGAACGCUGGCGGCAGGCCUAACACAUGCAAGUCGAACGGCAGCACAGGGGAGCUUGCUCCCUGGGUGGCGAGUGGCGGACGGGUGAGGAAAACGUCGGAAUCUGCCUAUUUGUGGGGGAUAACGUAGGGAAACUUACGCUAAUACCGCAUACGACCUACGGGUGAAAGCGGAGGACCUUCGGGCUUCGCGCAGAUAGACGAGCCGAGUCGGAUUAGCUAGUUGGCGGGUAAAGCCCACAAGGCGACGAUCCGUAGCUGGUCUGAGAGGAUGAUCAGCCACACUGGAACUGAGACACGGUCCAGACUCCGUACGGGAGGCAGCAGUGGGGAAUAGUGGACAGUGGCGAAAGCCUGAUCCAGCCAUGCCGCGUGUGUAGAAGUAAGGUCGUUACGGAUUA
rnacentral:rRNA from 1 species